rnacentral:lncRNA from 1 species
GAGCCCAGCCUUUUAAGUAAAGUGUUCCCAGUGCUUAAGGCAGCUGAACCUAAAUGAAGCCGAAAAUGACAAUGAAAACAGGUAGUCAAUUCAACUGAUACCUUGGGGUCCCAGAUGGAUUAAGAAUCCUGCAGACUGUGAGAUCCUGGAAAGGAGCUUCAGCAAUUUCUGCCACAAUGAUGAGGAAAGCAGCAGAUUCUUUGAAGAAUAUGUGCUGAGAUCUGGGAUCCCCCUGAGCAGCGUAGAUGUGAGACUGGAGAAGCUGUGCUCCCUGAUAUGGAGAUGCCUAGCCCUGGCUGAGUGGAACAGUGGCCUUGCAGUUCCAAGGCUGGGACUUCCAGGAGCAGAGAGGCUUAGCUCACUCCAGGAGCCUCAGCAGACAUGGAGACCACUCUGCUUCUCCUCUCCUAGCACAGGGGGAGACUGUGUCAUCUCCUUUUUGACAAAGGGGGAUUCCAGAAGUGGUACCUGA